rnacentral:rRNA from 1 species
AGAGUUUGAUCCUGGCUCAGAACGAACGCUGGCGGCAGGCUUAACACAUGCAAGUCGAACGAGAAUGUACCUUCGGGUACAGGACAGUGGCGCACGGGUGAGUAACGCGUGGGAAUUUACCAUGGAGUGGGGGAUAACAUUUGGAAACGAAUGAAGAGUAAUACCGUAUACGCCCUUCGGGGGAAAGAUUUAUCGGUAAAGGAUCAGCCCGCGUAAGAUUAGAUAGUUGGUGGGGUAAUGGCCUACCAAGUCUACGAUCUUUAGCUGGUUUUAGAGGAUGAUCAGCAACACUGGGACUGAGACACGGCCCAGACUCCUACGGGAGGCAGCAGUGGGGAAUAUUGCACAAUGGACGAAAGUCUGAUGCAGCAAUGCCGCGUGAGUGAAGAAGGCCUUAGGGUUGUAAAACUCUUUUAACAGGGAAGAUAAUGACGGUACCUGUAGAAUAAGCACCGGCUAACUCCGUGCCAGCAGCCGCGGUAAUACGGAGGGUGCUAGCGUUAUUCGGAUUUACUGGGCGUAAAGCGCGCGUAGGCGGUUAGUAUAGUUGGGAGUGAAAGCCCGGGGCUCAACCUCGGAACUGCUCUCAAAACUCACUAACUAGAAUAUGGUAGAGGAUAGUGGAAUUCCUAGUGUAGAGGUGAAAUUCGUAGAUAUUAGGAGGAACACCAGUGGCGAAGGCGACUGUCUGGACCAUUAUUGACGCUAAGGCGCGAAAGCGUGGGGAGCAAACGGGAUUAGAUACCCCGGUAGUCCACGCCGUAAACGAUGGUAAACUAGCCGUUGGGACCUUAGGUUUCAGUGGCGCAGCUAACGCACUAAGUUUACCGCCUGGGGAGUACGGCCGCAAGGUUAAAACUCAAAGGAAUUGACGGGGACCCGCACAAGCGGUGGAGCAUGUGGUUUAAUUCGAUGCAACGCGCAGAACCUUACCAGCCCUUGACAUCCCGAUUGGGAGGAGCAGAGAUGCACCUCUUCAUAUUUAGUUGGAUCGGUGACAGGUGCUGCAUGGCUGUCGUCAGCUCGUGUCGUGAGAUGUUGGGUUAAGUCCCGCAACGAGCGCAACCCCUGUUAUCAGUUGCCAUCAGUUCGGCUGGGCACUCUGAUGAGACUGCCGGUGAUAAGCCGGAGGAAGGCGGGGAUGACGUCAAGUCCUCAUGGCCCUUAUGGGCUGGGCUACACACGUGCUACAAUGGCAGAUACAAUGAGCAGCAAACUCGCGAGGGUAAGCUAAUCUUUAAAAUCUGUCUCAGUUCGGAUUGUUCUCUGCAACUCGAGAGCAUGAAGUCGGAAUCGCUAGUAAUCGUGGAUCAGCAUGCCACGGUGAAUACGUUCCCGGGUCUUGUACACACCGCCCGUCAAGUGAUGGGAGUUGGUUUUACCUGAAGCUGGUGCGCUAACCUUUUGGGGAGACAGCCGACCACGGUAAGGUCAGCGACUGGGGUGAAGUCGUAACAAGGUAACC